rnacentral:lncRNA from 1 species
GUGCAGCAGCUGUGGUGGGAUAUGGAGAUAUCUUGUGGACUGCUAGAAAGAAAGAGUAGUAUCCUAGCUUGCAAAGAAAGCUUUAAUGUUUCACUACUACUGAUAACUGGAAACAGAGAAUAUCUUCAUAGGGUCGAUCCACCUGGACCCUUGCCCUAGGUGCAUGGCAGUUUUCAACCAGCGCUGGAGAAGCCAAGUCUGGGCCUGAGGUUCCUGCUUAUUCCCCGAG